UACGUAGGGGGCUAGCGUUGUCCGGAUUUAUUGGGCGUAAAGAGCGUGUAGGCGGCCAGGUAGGUCUGCUGUGAAAACUCGAGGCUCAACCUCGAGACGUCGGCGGAAACCAUCUGGCUAGAGUCCGGAAGAGGAGAGUGGAAUUCCUGGUGUAGCGGUGAAAUGCGCAGAUAUCAGGAAGAACACCCGUGGCGAAGGCGGCUCUCUGGGACGGUACUGACGCUGAGACGCGAAAGCGUGGGGAGCGAACGGG
rnacentral:rRNA from 1 species